GCUUAACCGAGGAAGCGCAUUGGAAACUGGGAAACUUGAGUGCAGAAGAGGACAGUGGAACUCCAUGUGUAGCGGUGAAAUGCGUAGAUAUAUGGAAGAACACCAGUGGCGAAGGCGGCUGUCUGGUCUGUAACUGACGCUGAGGCUCGAAAGCAUGGGUAGCGAACAGGAUUAGAUACCCUGGUAGUCCAUGCCGUAAACGAUGAAUGCUAGGUGUUGGAGGGUUUCCGCCCUUCAGUGCCGCAGCUAACGCAUUAAGCAUUCCGCCUGGGGAGUACGACCGCAAGGUUGAAACUCAAAGGAAUUGACGGGGGCCCGCACAAGCGGUGGAGCAUGUGGUUUAAUUCGAAGCAACGCGAAGAACCUUACCAGGUCUUGACAUCUUUUGAUCACCUGAGAGAUCAGGUUUCCCCUUCGGGGGCAAAAUGACAGGUGGUGCAUGGUUGUCGUCAGCUCGUGUCGUGAGAUGUUGGGUUAAGUCCCGCAACGAGCGCAACCCUUAUGACUAGUUGCCAGCAUUUAGUUGGGCACUCUAGUAAGACUGCCGGUGACAAACCGGAGGAAGGUGGGGAUGACGUCAAAUCAUCAUGCCCCUUAUGACCUGGGCUACACACGUGCUACAAUGGAUGGUACAACG
rnacentral:rRNA from 1 species